GACGUAGGGCGCGAGCGUUGUCCGGAUUUAUUGGGCGUAAAGAGCUCGUAGGCGGCUUGUUGCGUCAGCUGUGAAAACCCGCAGCUCAACUGUGGGCUUGCAGCUGAUACGGGCAGGCUUGAGUUCGGUAGGGGAGACUGGAAUUCCUGGUGUAGCGGUGAAAUGCGUUGAUAUCCAGUGGAACUCCGGUGGCGAAGGCGGCACGCUGGACCCGAUCUGACGCUGAGGCGCGAAAGCCAGGGGAGCGAACGGG
rnacentral:rRNA from 1 species